rnacentral:misc_RNA from 1 species
AGCAGCCGCGGUAAUUCCAGCUCCAAUAGCGUAUAUUAAAGUUGUUGCAGUUAAAAAGCUCGUAGUUGAAUUUCGGGAUUGGCGCAUCGGUCGUGCCUUACGGGGUAUGAACUGGUGCAGUCAAUUUCUCACCUUCUGGAGAACCGCGAUGUCCUUAAUUGGGUGCCGCGGGGAACCAGGACCUUUACUUUGAAAAAAUUAGAGUGUUUAAAGCAGGCAUUUUUGCUUGAAUACAUUAGCAUGGAAUAAUAAAAUAGGACGGCAUGGUUCUAUUUUGUUGGUUUCUAGGACCACCGUAAUGAUUAAUAGGGAUAGUUGGGGGCAUUAGUAUUCAAUUGUCAGAGGUGAAAUUCUUGGAUUUAUUGAAGACUAACUACUGCGAAAGCAUUUGCCAAGGAUGUUUUCAUUAAUCAAGAACGAAAGUUAGGGGAUCGAAGACGAUCAGAUACCGUCGUAGUCUUAACCAUAAACUAUGCCGACUAGGAUCAGACGAUAGUUAAUUUUUAAUGUACUCGUUUGG